GAUGAACGCUGGCGGCGUGCCUAAUACAUGCAAGUCGAGCGAACAGACGAGGAGCUUGCUCCUCUGAUGUUAGCGGCGGACGGGUGAGUAACACGUGGAUAACCUACCUAUAAGACUGGGAUAACUUCGGGAAACCGGAGCUAAUACCGGAUAACAUGUUGAACCGCAUGGUUCAACAGUGAAAGACGGUCUUGCUGUCACUUAUAGAUGGAUCCGCGCCGCAUUAGCUAGUUGGUAAGGUAACGGCUUACCAAGGCAACGAUGCGUAGCCGACCUGAGAGGGUGAUCGGCCACACUGGAACUGAGACACGGUCCAGACUCCUACGGGAGGCAGCAGUAGGGAAUCUUCCGCAAUGGGCGGAAGCCUGACGGAGCAACGCCGCGUGAGUGAAGAAGGUCUUCGGAUCGUAAAACUCUGUUAUUAGGGAAGAACAAAUGUGUAAGUAACUAUGCACGUCUUGACGGUACCUAGUCAGAAAGCCACGGCUAACUACGUG
rnacentral:rRNA from 1 species